rnacentral:rRNA from 1 species
AUUCCCCUAGUACGGCGAGUGAGCGGGAAGAGCUCAAAUUUGAAAUCUGGUAGCCUUCGGUUGCCCGAGUUGUAAUCUAGAGAAGUGUUUUCCGUGCCGGCCCAUGUACAAGUCCCUUGGAACAGGGCGUCAUAGAGGGUGAGAAUCCCGUCCUUGACAUGGACCCCCGGUGCUUUGUGAUACACUUUCAACGAGUCGAGUUGUUUGGGAAUGCAGCUCAAAAUGGGUGGUGAAUUCCAUCUAAAGCUAAAUAUUGGCGAGAGACCGAUAGCGAACAAGUACCGUGAGGGAAAGAUGAAAAGCACUUUGGAAAGAGAGUUAAACAGUACGUGAAAUUGUUGAAAGGGAAACGAUUGAAGUCAGUCAUGCUCUUAGGAUUCAGCCGUUCUGCGGUGUAUUUCCUUUGAGUGGGGUCAACAUCAGUUUUGAUCGAUGGAUAAAGGCACGAGGAAGGUAGCACUCUCGGGUGAACUUAUAGCCUCGCGUCAUAUACAUUGAUUGGGACUGAGGAACGCAGCAUGCCUUUAUGGCCGGGAUUCGUCCACGUACAUGCUUAGGAUGUUGACAUAAUGGCUUUAAACGAC